rnacentral:ncRNA from 1 species
CACCGCCCGUCACACCCUGGGAAUUGGUUUCGCCCGAAGCAUCGGACCAAUGAUCACCCAUGACUUCUGUGUACCACGAGUGCCACAAAGGCUUUUGGUGGUCUUAUUGGCGCAUACCACGGUGGGGUCUUCGACUGGGGGUGAAGUCGUAACAAAGGUAGCCGUAGGGGAACCUGUGGCUG